rnacentral:rRNA from 1 species
GCUACUGAAUCAAUUAAAAAUUGAUAACAUAAGGGAAAAUAAUGAUAUUACCUUAUUAUUAGUGUCGUCCAAAACUGGUGCCAGAAGACUCGGUAAGGCCAGAGACAUAAACGUUAAUCGUCUUAAUCAGGCGUAAAGGGUUUGUAGGCGGCUUUUAAUUUUCUUAUAAAAAUUUAAAAAAUAUAAAUAAGUUAAGAAUAAAAGCUAGAAUCAAAUAGAGGAUAUAUCAAAUAAUGCUUAGAGUAGGUCUGAUAUCCAUAGAUACUAAGUAGAAUAUUAAAGGCGAAAGCUUUUUUCCAUAAAUGAUUGACGCUCAGAAACGAAGGUGAGGAUAGGAAAUAGGAUUAGAUACCCAAAAUACCCCUCUCUGUCAACGAUGAAUGGUAAUUAUUAAUAAAAAUUAUUAUUAAUGAUAAUGUUAACACGAUAACCAUUCCGCCUUGUGAGUACAACUGCAAAGUUGAAAACAAAAAAAUUAGUCGGUUUCGGAGCAAACGAAGUGAAGCAUGUUAUUUAAUUCGAAAAAAACUCCCGCAAAA